rnacentral:misc_RNA from 1 species
GAUGAAGAACGCAGCGAAAUGCGAUACUUGGUGUGAAUUGCAGAAUCCCGUGAACCAUCGAAUCUUUGAACGCAAGUUGCGCCCGAAGCCAUUAGGCCGAGGGCACGCCUGCCUGGGCGUCACACGUCGUUGCCCCCCCCAUCUACUCCUUCGGGAUUGCGGGGGGCGGAUGAUGGCCUCCCGUGCGCCUCGCCGCGCGGUUGGCAUAAAUGCCAAGUCCUCGGCGAUGCACGCCACGACAAUCGGUGGUUGCGAAACCUCGGUUGCCCGUCGUGUGCGGUCGUCGCGCAUCGAGGGCUCGAAAAAAUUGCCGGGUUCCGGCUCGGCUUUCAACGCGACCCCAGGUCAGGCGGGGUUACCCGCUGAAUUUAAGCAUAUCAAUAAGCGGAGGA